rnacentral:rRNA from 1 species
GACGAACGCUGGCGGCGUGCUUAACACAUGCAAGUCGAACGGUGACCCAGGGCUUGCCCUGGUGAUCAGUGGCGAACGGGUGAGUAACACGUGGGCAACCUGCCCCUGACUUCGGGAUAACUCCUCGAAAGAGGAGCUAAUACCGGAUACGACCACUUCGGACAUCCGAUGGUGGUGGAAAGUUUUUCGGUCAGGGAUGGGCCCGCGGCCUAUCAGCUAGUUGGUGGGGUAAUGGCCUACCAAGGCGACGACGGGUAGCCGGCCUGAGAGGGCGACCGGCCACACUGGGACUGAGACACGGCCCAGACUCCUACGGGAGGCAGCAGUGGGGAAUAUUGCGCAAUGGGCGAAAGCCUGACGCAGCGACGCCGCGUGAGGGAUGAAGGCCUCGGUUGUAACGUACUUCUAGCAGGACGAAGCG